CCUACGGGAGGCAGCAGUGAGGAAUAUUGGUCAAUGGGCGGAAGCCUGAACCAGCCAAGUAGCGUGCAGGAUGACGGCCCUACGGGUUGUAAACUGCUUUUAUACGGGAAUAACGCGCCUUACGUGUAGGGCUUUGCAUGUACCGUAUGAAUAAGGACCGGCUAAUUCCGUGCCAGCAGCCGCGGUAAUACGGAAGGUCCGGGCGUUAUCCGGAUUUAUUGGGUUUAAAGGGAGCGUAGGCCGCAUGUCAAUCGUGCUGUGAAAUGUCCGGUCUCAACCCGGGCCUGGCAGCGCGAAGUGGCGUGCUUGAGUCCGCUGAAAGAAGGCGGAA
rnacentral:rRNA from 1 species